GAUGAACGCUGACAGAAUGCUUAACACAUGCAAGUCUACUUGAAUUUGGGUUUUUAACUUAGAUUUGGGUGGCGGACGGGUGAGUAACGCGUAAAGAACUUGCCUCGCAGCUAGGGACAACAUUUAGAAAUGAAUGCUAAUACCUAAUAUUAUGAUAAUAGGGCAUCCUAUAAUUAUGAAAGCUAUAUGCGCUGUGAGAGAGCUUUGCGUCCCAUUAGCUAGUUGGAGAGGUAACAGCUCACCAAGGCGAUGAUGGGUAGCCGGCCUGAGAGGGUGAUCGGCCACAAGGGGACUGAGACACGGCCCUUACUCCUACGGGAGGCAGCAGUGGGGAAUAUUGGACAAUGGACCGAGAGUCUGAUCCAGCAAUUCUGUGUGCACGAUGAAGUUUUUCGGAAUGUAAAGUGCUUUCAGUUGGGAAGAAAGAAAUGACGGUACCAACAGAAGAAGUGACGGCUAAAUACGUGCCAGCAGCCGCGGUAAUACGUAUGUCACGAGCGUUAUCCGGAUUUAUUGGGCGUAAGGCGCGUCUAGGUGGUUAUAUAAGUCUGAUGUGAAAAUGCAGGGCUCAACUCUGUAUUGCGUUGGAAACUGUAUAACUAGAGUACUGGAGAGGUAAGCGGAACUACAAGUGUAGAGGUGAAAUUCGUAGAUAUGUGUAGGAAUGCCGAUGGGGAAGCCAGCUUACUGGACAGAUACUGACGCUGAAGCGCGAAAGCGUGGGUAGCAAACAGG
rnacentral:rRNA from 1 species